rnacentral:rRNA from 1 species
GACGAACGCUGGCGGCGUGCUUAACACAUGCAAGUCGAGCGAUGAAGCUCCUUCGGGAGUGGAUUAGCGGCGGACGGGUGAGUAACACGUGGGUAACCUGCCUCAUAGAGGGGAAUAGCCUUUCGAAAGGAAGAUUAAUACCGCAUAAGAUUGUAGUUUCGCAUGAAACAGCAAUUAAAGGAGUAAUCCGCUAUGAGAUGGACCCGCGUCGCAUUAGCUAGUUGGUGAGGUAACGGCUCACCAAGGCGACGAUGCGUAGCCGACCUGAGAGGGUGAUCGGCCACAUUGGGACUGAGACACGGCCCAGACUCCUACGGGAGGCAGCAGUGGGGAAUAUUGCACAAUGGGGGAAACCCUGAUGCAGCAACGCCGCGUGAGUGAUGACGGUCUUCGGAUUGUAAAGCUCUGUCUUCAGGGACGAUAAUGACGGUACCUGAGGAGGAAGCCACGGCUAACUACGUGCCAGCCGCCGCGGUAAAAC